GAAACACUUUGGUUUUUCUGUUUAUUUGCUUAAUGUUGUUUAUUUGAGUAGAGGAAGGGCAAGAGGGAACAAAGAGAACACAGGAAGCACCUCUGUAGAGGUGCAGUAGACUACCCACAACGCCACCCGAGAGCUCUAGUUCUUAGUUCAAAACGAAGUUAGCAAGGUUUUUCUUUUCUUUCUUUUUUUUCUUUUUUGGAGACGGAGUCUCACUCUGUCACCCAGGCUGGAGUGCAGUGGCACGCGAUCCCGGCUCGCUGCAACCUCCGUCUCCUGAGUUCAAGCAAUUCUCCUGCCUCAGCCUCCUGAGUAGCUGGGAUUACAGGCACUCGCCACCAUGCCCAGCUAAUUUUGUAUUUUUAGUGGACACGAGGUUUCACCAUGUUGGCCAGGCUGGUUUCAAACUCCCGCCCUCAGUUAAUCUGCCCGCCUCAGCUUCCCAAAGUGCUGGGAUUACAGGCAUGAGCCACCGCGCCCGGCCAGGUUUUUUCAUCUGUGUGUUGAAUUCUCCUACAAUCUGCUCCCAGGUUUGUCAUGAGGAAUAAGUGAGACAAAGCACAAAAACUUCAUGGGU
rnacentral:lncRNA from 1 species